GAUGAACGCUGGCGGCGUGCCUAAUACAUGCAAGUCGAGCGGCAGCACGGUCUUCGGACUGGUGGCGAGCGGCGGACGGCUGAGUAACGCGUAGGAACGUACCCCAAAGUGAGGGAUAACUGCUCGAAAGAGUAGCUAAUACCGCAUGUGAUCUAAGGAUUAAAGCUUCGGCGCUUUGGGAACGGCCUGCGUCCGAUUAGCUAGUUGGUGAGGUAAAAGCUCACCAAGGCGACGAUCGGUAGCUGGUCUGAGAGGAUGAUCAGCCAGACUGGGACUGAGACACGGCCCAGACUCCUACGGGAGGCAGCAGUAGGGAAUUUUCCACAAUGGGCGAAAGCCUGAUGGAGCAACGCCGCGUGCAGGAUGAAUGCCUUCGGGUUGUAAACUGCUUUUAUAUGUGACGAAUAUGACGGUAGCAUAUGAAUAAGGAUCGGCUAACUCCGUGCCAGCCGCCGCGGUAA
rnacentral:rRNA from 1 species